UUCAGGGAGAAUAUCCAAUGGAAAGUUCAUCGCCUUCAAACUCCCCACAUUCUCCCUUGCCUUUCAUUUCUUCCAUACAGGACAUUUUAAUACAUGGAUAUGCUUAUAACAUAAGAAGAAAAAAAAUCAAAGCUUCUAAUCUUCAGCUUUCAACCUUUAAUUUAAAAACGAUAAAUUGACACAUACCUCAUAUUCAGCUUUGGUAUUUUAUUCACAUUAUCACAUGUGCAGGACAUAAAGAGACAUUCCAUCUGUAUGGUUACUUUCUCUGACAUGGCUGCGGCGAGUACCUGAGAAUGCUUCUUAUACCAAUUAUAUAAACUAUUUCUUUUUAUCACACUAAAUCAUCUGCAGCCAUUUGUGUUUGUCAUGCUAGAAAUGCAGCUGCUGCCAAGGCUGGAGGAAUCUGAAGUACAACGGGGAAAGCGAUUGAUUGGCAUUUGCAGGAAGGGCCAUUUGUCAGAAUGCUUACAUGAGCACUGCUUGUUCUCCAACAUGCUAAUGACAGCUGUGACACUGCCUUUCUAGGGUGUGAGAAACAAACUACAGUGUGCAAGUGACACUUUGACUGUGUUUUUUGAUGGAAAGAAAGUAGGUCUUGUAACUUGCCUUCUCUACCAUCACUACAAGCAUGCAAAUUCCAGUACUGACAGCUACUGCUGACAGAUGAGUGGCUCUGCGCUGCACAGGGAAUAAGACAUCACAACUUGACCAGAAGUCAGCUGAAGAGAUAUAAGUGAAAAGACAAGUGGAAGUGGGUGCCAUUCCAAAACCAACAUUUACUGCACUAGAUAUAAGAAAGCAUGUCUUACAUGGAGGGUUUAGCAAACCUUCCAGAUGCUUUGAGUGAAUUCUAGUCGUAUUUAAAACAUGACCUUUCAAUCUUCUCCAGCACCACAGCUGAUUUCACACAUCAUGAAAUGUCUGGAAAUGAUUAUCAGUGUCUUCUGUUUUCAAGGCUUCAUUGUAAGGAAAUACGAAUACCUCAAUUAGGAAUUAUAGAAUCAUUCAGGCUGGAAAAGACCUCUAGGAUCAUCUAAUCCAACCUAGAAAUGAGGAGCAAACCUCAUUGCUGGACCUAAACCAUGGUGUGAAAAGCUCUGAUGCUAAUGCAAGGUGCCACCUAAGAAGGUCUCCAACAUCAGAAGAGUCACAAAAGUGGAGAUCCAUCUCCAUGGCCUGCACAUGAUGGACCUUCUGAUGGGAAGGAGUUCACAGAGAAACGAAGUGAGCAAAAAAGCUUGAUAUUUGAUUCUUUGCCUAUAUCCAGGUGUCAGAACUGUGAAGUGUGACCAGUUUGGGUCAUUGACAAGCUGGAGGAUCUAGACUUGAAGCUUUAAUAAGCCAGAGAAACACAAAACAGUUCCUAAAUGCUUGCAGUAGUGCAUAGCUCCAGUAACAAUGUGAUUUCUACUUUGAUAAAAGCUCUAAUGGGGAAAUUGAAAGGCAGAAAAGGUUAGGAAGAGACGUAAAACAGAAAAGAGUAAGGUGAGGAGCAAGAAAUUAUGAUUUUGUGGCUAUCAGCCUGCCAUUUGCUAGCAAGGAUCACUGUUUCCAGAGGACUGUUUUGGUAACUGGGGUCUGAAGGAGGCUGUAUGUCUCAAACCAUCACGGCAGUCCCUGGCAAGCUUCAGGAAACCAUUUAAAUGCCUUUUGCUGCUGCUGUUAGUAGUGAAAUAGACAAACACUCCAUGUCAACUGAAAGAAAGGGUUAUUUACCAGAGAGCUUGGAAGAAAAUUAAAUUUAUAAUGAACUGGAAAUCCUACCAUUUAACCAGUUCUAAUGGUAAGUGAAGUGCUGUAUCAAUUGCUUUCAACACAGCAACUGCCACUUGUUUUGGAAAUUUGCAUCAUUUAAAUGCAUAUUUUCAAUCAACACUUCAGACUGCGCAGCUGUCACUACCUUCACAUGCCACUGCCGUUGCUGCAGUCACAAGUCAUUGCUUAUCAGACUGAUUGCCAGCCAUGCACUUCUGCCAAAACUGUCAAUGCAGGCAUUUAUAAGCUUUAAUAAAAUAGUUUAAAUUGUGUAUGUGUGCGUGCA
rnacentral:lncRNA from 1 species